GUGCUCGCUUCAGCAGCACGUAUAUUAAAAUUGGAACGAUACAGAGAUUAGCAUGGACCCUGCGCAAGAAAACAAAAAUUACUAGAUGAGUUUGAAAUAAAUUAU